AAUCACUAGUUUUUUAAUUGGAAGCUUGAAUGAAAGGUUGGAUGAAGAAACUACUGUCUCAAUUAAAAUUUAUUAGAAUUUUAUUAUUUUGUAAAAAGGCAAAAAUUUAUAUAAAAGACGAGAAGACCCUAUAGAGUUUUAUAGUUUUAAGAGAAAGGGUAAUUAGAAUAUAUUUUUUUAUUUUUUAAAAUUAUUUGGUUGGGGUGAUUGAAAAAUUUAAUUAACUUUUUUUGUAUAAAUACAUAGAUUUAUGAAUAUUUGAUCCUUUAAAAAGAUUAAAAGAAAAAAUUACCUUAGGGAUAACAGCGUUAUUU
rnacentral:rRNA from 1 species